UAAAGUAUCAAGUCAGAUUUUUUUCAGUCUGUACUUUAGUGGUAAAAUAUCACCAGUUAAAGGAUUAACAUGUUCUUGUAAUAUAACUAGUGCUAGAAAGUUUAAUUUUGAAACCAAGUACAUCUACUUGGGUGGCGAAUCGUGUAACAGGGUCAUAGUAACAGUUGACGAUAACCCUGUAUACACAUGUGACGAUGAUGGGGUAUUUCUCGGAUACAGCGACAGUGGCCCGAUCUACAGGAAAGCUACGAUAGACUUCAAUAAUAUGACCGCUGGCUACGAUGAUGUAAUAUGGAUAGAGUUUAACGGUGGGUUUUUUGCAGGUCCUGAGACGGUGGAGGCGUCAUGUGGUUGUUUUAAACCAGUGAUAAAUGGUGGUUGGAGUAACUGGUCGGAAUACAGUAUCUGCUCUGCCUCAUGUGGUGGGAGUACAAAAACCAGGACAAGGAAUUGUGAUAAUCCUACAGCAGCUAAUGGUGGAAUGUAUUGUACUGGUAACUCUACCGAGACAGUUGAAUGUAAUCAACUAGAACAGUGUCCAGCCGGCCUACAAUUUGAGAUUAUUCUAACUGGGAUUAUAACUGGUGUUUUGGUAGCCAUCAUUCUUGUAUGUUUUAUAACAUGGUUUAUAAGACGAAAUAUCACGAAACCUCAACCAACUGUCCAUUAUGAAAACACAACAGGCCAUAAUGAAAACAUAACAGAAAAUGUGUAUGGCAUCAUAUAACAGAUGACUGUCGCUAAUGUGCAUGUAAACACACAAGGGCAAGGUGAAGUAACAAGUCACCAUGGCAACAACGAGGAAGAUACAUUAAUGUAAUUUAAGAAAUGAAAUAGGGCCUAAAGUCCAUUUUUUCUGUACAGAUUAAGUA